rnacentral:lncRNA from 1 species
AAAAAACAUAAAAGUAAAAAUAUUUUACAAUGAUGUGUGAACUAAUAGCAUUCAUUGGUCAGGUAGUGCUUCAGUAGUCGGCGGUGCUUCAGCAGUCGGCGGGGCCACAGAAGGAGGAGGCAACAGAGGUUGAUUCUUUGGAGCUUCAGCAGUUGGCGCAGCUCCAGAAGACGAAGGCAGAUGCUGUUGGAACAAACCCACAAACCUCCGAUGAUCAAGUAAAAUUUGACCAUCAGUGUCCUGCAUCUGGUCAAUUUUCCUCUUCAUGUUGGUGGCAUAGUUGUGUGCGAGCUUGUGCAAUUGUUUAUUUUCAUGCUUGAGU